AACUUAAGGUUCUAUUAGUGAAUUUCCCAUUUACACUGGGGAGGACCCUGUGCAAUUCAGGGUUGGUUGAU
rnacentral:tRNA from 1 species